GGAAUCGAUAACCGCUGAAAGCAUCUAAGCGGGAAGCGAGCCCUGAGAUGAGUCAUCCCUGACCCCUUGAGGGUCCUAAAGGGCCGUUGGAGACCACAACGUUGAUAGGUGGGGUGUGUAAGCGCGGUGACGUGUUGAGCUAACCCAUACUAAUUACCCGUGAGGCUUAACCAUACAACACCCAAGAAGUGUUCU
rnacentral:rRNA from 1 species